UGGCGGCAGCCUACACAUGCAGUCGAACGGUAACAGAAAGUAGCUUGCUACUUUGCUGACGAGUGGCGGACGGGUGAGUAAUGUCUGGGAAACUGCCUGAUGGAGGGGGAUAACUACUGGAAACGGUAGCUAAUACCGCAUAACGUCGCAAGACCAAAGAGGGGGACCUUCGGGCCUCUUGCCAUCAGAUGUGCCCAGAUGGGAUUAGCUAGUAGGUGGGGUAACGGCUCACCUAGGCGACGAUCCCUAGCUGGUCUGAGAGGAUGACCAGCCACACUGGAACUGAGACACGGUCCAGACUCCUACGGGAGGCAGCAGUGGGGAAUAUUGCACAAUGGGCGCAAGCCUGAUGCAGCCAUGCCGCGUGUAUGAAGAAGGCCUUCGGGUUGUAAAGUACUUUCAGCGGGGAGGAAGGUGUUGAGGUUAAUAACCUCAGCAAUUGACGUUACCCGCAGAAGAAGCACCGGCUAACUCCGUGCCAGCAGCCGCGGUAAUACGGAGGGUGCAAGCGUUAAUCGGAAUUACUGGGCGUAAAGCGCACGCAGGCGGUCUGUCAAGUCGGAUGUGAAAUCCCCGGGCUCAACCUGGGAACUGCAUUCGAAACUGGCAGGCUAGAGUCUUGUAGAGGGGGGUAGAAUUCCAGGUGUAGCGGUGAAAUGCGUAGAGAUCUGGAGGAAUACCGGUGGCGAAGGCGGCCCCCUGGACAAAGACUGACGCUCAGGUGCGAAAGCGUGGGGAGCAAACAGGAUUAGAUACCCUGGUAGUCCACGCCGUAAACGAUGUCGAUUUGGAGGUUGUGCCCUUGAGGCGUGGCUUCCGGAGCUAACGCGUUAAAUCGACCGCCUGGGGAGUACGGCCGCAAGGUUAAAACUCAAAUGAAUUGACGGGGGCCCGCACAAGCGGUGGAGCAUGUGGUUUAAUUCGAUGCAACGCGAAGAACCUUACCUGGUCUUGACAUCCACAGAACUUUCCAGAGAUGGAUUGGUGCCUUCGGGAACUGUGAGACAGGUGCUGCAUGGCUGUCGUCAGCUCGUGUUGUGAAAUGUUGGGUUAAGUCCCGCAACGAGCGCAACCCUUUAUCCUUUGUUGCCAGCGGUUCAGGCCGGGAACUCAAAGGAAACUGCCAGUGAUAAACUGGAGGAAAGGGGGGG
rnacentral:rRNA from 1 species